GUGGGGAAUAUUGCGCAAUGGGCGAAAGCCUGACGCAGCCACGCCGCGUGUGUGAUGAAGGCCCUAGGGUCGUAAAGCACUGUCGAGGGGGAAGAAGUUCUGACGGUACCCCUCAAGAAAGCACCGGCUAACUCCGUGCCAGCAGCCGCGGUAAUACGGAGGGUGCAAGCGUUGCUCGGAAUCACUGGGCGUAAAGCGUACGCAGGCGGCUUGGUAAGUUGGGUGUGAAAUCCCGGGGCUCAACCCCGGAACUGCAUUCAAGACUGCCUAGCUUGAAUACGGGAGAGGGAAGCGGAAUUCCUGGUGUAGAGGUGAAAUUCGUAGAUAUCAGGAGGAACACCAGUGGCGAAAGCGGCUUCCUGGCCCGAUAUUGACGCUCAUGUACGAAAGCGUGGGGAGCAAACAGGAUUAGAAACCCGUGUAGUCC
rnacentral:rRNA from 1 species